GGCUUUGCUCGGUGGCAGUAUUGUAGCCAAGUGAGGUUUCUCCGAGGCGCGGUUAUUGCUCAUUGAAAACUUUUCCCAACACUCCCCGUGACGACUUGACAUAUAGCCGGCCUUGGCGAUUUCUGACAGUCUCUGCGGAGA